rnacentral:rRNA from 1 species
CCUACGGGUGGCUGCAGUGGGGAAUAUUGGACAAUGGGGGCAACCCUGAUCCAGCCAUGCCGCGUGUGUGAAGAAGGCCCUCGGGUUGUAAAGCACUUUCAGUGAGGAAGAACGCCUGGUGGUUAAUACCCAUCAGGAAAGACAUCACUCACAGAAGAAGCACCGGCUAACUCCGUGCCAGCAGCCGCGGUAAUACGGAGGGUGCGAGCGUUAAUCGGAAUUACUGGGCGUAAAGCGCGCGUAGGUGGCUUGAUAAGCCGGUUGUGAAAGCCCCGGGCUCAACCUGGGAACGGCAUCCGGAACUGUCAAGCUAGAGUGCAGGAGAGGAAGGUAGAAUUCCCGGUGUAGCGGUGAAAUGCGUAGAGAUCGGGAGGAAUACCAGUGGCGAAGGCGGCCUUCUGGACUGACACUGACACUGAGGUGCGAAAGCGUGGGUAGCAAACAGGAUUAGAUACCCCGGUAAUC